rnacentral:rRNA from 1 species
UGGGGAAUCUUGGACAAUGGGCGCAAGCCUGAUCCAGCCAUGCCGCGUGAGUGACGAAGGUCUUCGGAUUGUAAAGCUCUUUUUGGCGGGGACGAUAAUGACGGUACCCGCAGAAUAAGCCCCGGCUAACUUCGUGCCAGCAGCCGCGGUAAUACGAAGGGGGCUAGCGUUGUUCGGAAUUACUGGGCGUAAAGCGCACGUAGGCGGAUCUAUAAGUCAGGGGUGAAAUCCCGGGGCUCAACCUCGGAACUGCCUUUGAUACUGUAGAUCUCGAGUCCGGAAGAGGUGAGUGGAAUUCCUAGUGUAGAGGUGAAAUUCGUAGAUAUUAGGAAGAACACCAGUGGCGAAGGCGGCUCACUGGUCCGGUACUGACGCUGAGGUGCGAAAGCGUGGGGAGCAAACAGGAUUAGAUACCCACGUAGUCCCUGAGCGGGCUGGCAAGGCGCAU